rnacentral:rRNA from 1 species
UACGGGGGGGGGCAAGCGUUGUUCGGAAUUACUGGGCGUAAAGGGCUCGUAGGCGGCCAACUAAGUCAGACGUGAAAUCCCUCGGCUUAACUGGGGAACUGCGUGUGAUACUGGAUGGCUUGGAUGUGGGAGAGGGAUGCGGAAUUCCAGGUGUAGCGGUGAAAUGCGUAGAUAUCUGGAGGAACACCGGUGGCGAAGGCGGCAUCCUGGACCAUUAUUGACGCUGAGGAGCGAAAGCCAGGGGAGCAAACGGG